ACAUUGAAACGCCGGUUCUCGUACGAUUUCUGAAGUUAAGCAAUGUUGGGCCACUUCAAUACCGAGAUGAGAGACCGAUUGGGAAU